CGUGUAGGCGGCCCGGUAAGUCCGCUGUGAAAGUCGGGGGCUCAACCCUCGAAAGCCGGUGGAUACUGUCGGGCUAGAGUGCGGAUGAGGCGAGUGGAAUUCCUGGUGUAGCGGUGAAAUGCGCAGAUAUCAGGAGGAACACCGAUUGCGAAGGCAGCUCGCUGGGACGUAACUGACGCUGAGACGCGAAAGCGGUGGGGGGCAAACA
rnacentral:rRNA from 1 species